UCUUAGUGGCGAACGGGUGAGUAAGCGUGAGUAACCUGCCCUAGAUGGGGGACAACAGUUGGAAACGACUGCUAAUACCGCAUAAGCCCACGGUACCGCAUGGUACUGAGGGAAAAGGAUUUAUUCGCUUUAGGAUGGACUCGCGUCCAAUUAGCUAGUUGGUGAGGUAACGGCCCACCAAGGCGACGAUUGGUAGCCGACCUGAGAGGGUGACCGGCCACAUUGGGACUGAGACACGGCCCAA
rnacentral:rRNA from 1 species